rnacentral:rRNA from 1 species
UACGGAGGGUGCAAGCGUUAUCCGGAUUCACUGGGUUUAAAGGGUGCGUAGGUGGAUCUAUAAGUCAGUGGUGAAAGCCCCGAGCUCAACUUGGGAAUUGCCAUUGAUACUAUUGAUCUUGAAUACCGUGGAGGUCAGCGGAAUAUGUCAUGUAGCGGUGAAAUGCUUAGAUAUGACAUAGAACACCAAUUGCGAAGGCAGCUGGCUACGCGAAUAUUGACACUGAUGCACGAAAGCGUGGGGAUCAAACAGG